rnacentral:rRNA from 1 species
UACGGAGGGUGCAAGCGUUAUCCGGAUUCACUGGGUUUAAAGGGUGCGUAGGCGGGCAGGUAAGUCCGUGGUGAAAUCUCUGAGCUUAACUCAGAAACUGCCAUGGACACUAUUUGUCUUGAAUAUUGUGGAGGUAAGCGGAAUAUGUCAUGUAGCGGUGAAAUGCUUAGAUAUGACAUAGAACACCAAUUGCGAAGGCAGCUUACUACACAGUUAUUGACGCUGAGGCACGAAAGCGUGGGGAUCAAACAGG